rnacentral:rRNA from 1 species
AGUGAAAUAGAACCUGAAACCCUGCACUUACAAGCUGUGGAAGCACAUUUCUUGUGUGACCGCGUACUUUUUGUAGAACGGGCCAACGAGUUACGUUAAGUAGCAAGGUUAAGCACUUAAGGUGUGGGGCCGUAGCGAAAGCGAGUUUUAACUGAGCGUUCAGUUACUUGACGUAGACCCGAAACCGGGCGACCUACCCAUGAGCAGGAUGAAGCGAAAGUAAAAUUUCGUGGAGGUCCGAACCCACGAGCG